rnacentral:rRNA from 1 species
UACAGAGGUCUCAAGCGUUGUUCGGAUUCAUUGGGCGUAAAGGGUGCGUAGGCGGCGCGGUAAGUCGGGUGUGAAAUCUUGGAGCUUAACUCCGAAACUGCAUUCGAUACUGCCGUGCUUGAGGACUGGAGAGGAGACUGGAAUUUACGGUGUAGCGGUGAAAUGCGUAGAUAUCGGAAGGAACGCCGGUGGCGAAAGCGGCGUGCUGGACCUCACCUGACGCUGAGGCGCGAAAGCCAGGGGAGCAAACGGG